rnacentral:rRNA from 1 species
AAUUGACAUUACCAGUAUGACCGCGGGCUGGAACCUCUCGGGGUUACAGCCUUGCUGAGUUAUUCACCCUUGUCUUUUGCGUACUUCUUGUUUCCUUGGUGGGUUCACCCCCCACUGCGACCUGAUAAACCUUUUGUAAUUGCAAUCAGCGUCACUAACAAAUUAAUAAUUACAACUUUCAACAACUGAUCUCUUGGUUCUGGCAUCGAUGAAGCACGCCCUUUGAUGCGAUAAGGGCUGUGAAUUGCAGAAUUCAUUGAAUCAUUCAAUCUUUUCUGGGAGAUUGACCCCUUUGGUAUUUCAAAGGGCAUGCUCGUUCAUGCCUCAAUUGUAACAUCCAGUGUUGCAUGUUGUUAUUAUUCUUGUGUUACUGACUCUUAUUGAAUUACCAAAAGUUUAUGUUUGUCCUACUGGUGGGCUAACCCACCAAGGAAACUCAAACUACUCAAAAGACAAAGGUGAAUAAUUCAUAAAGGCUGUUACCCCUAUAGGAUCCCCGCACCGCUUUCGGAUAUCCGUAAUGAUCUCUCCUCAUGAUCACCCUAGAGGAAA